rnacentral:rRNA from 1 species
GAUGAACGCUGGCGGCGUGCCUAAUACAUGCAAGUCGAGCGAACAGACGAGGAGCUUGCUCCUCUGACGUUAGCGGCGGACGGGUGAGUAACACGUGGAUAACCUACCUAUAAGACUGGGAUAAAUUCGGGAAACCGGAGCUAAUACCGGAUAAUAUAUUGAACCGCAUGGUUCAAUAGUGAAAGACGGUUUUGCUGUCACUUAUAGAUGGAUCCGCGCCGCAUUAGCUAGUUGGUAAGGUAACAGCUUACCAAGGCAACGAUGCGUAGCCGACCUGAGAGGGUGAUCGGCCACACUGGAACUGAGACACGGUCCAGACUCCUACGGGAGGCAGCAGUAGGGAAUCUUCCGCAAUGGGCGAAAGCCUGACGGAGCAACGCCGCGUGAGUGAUGAAGGUCUUCGGAUCGUAAAACUCUGUUAUUAGGGAAGAACAAAUGUGCAAGUAACUAUGCACGUCUUGACGGUACCUAAUCAGAAAGCCACGGCUAACUACGUG